AUUGAACGCUGGCGGUAUGCUUAACACAUGCAAGUCGAACGGCAGCACAGGAGAGCUUGCUCUCUGGGUGGCGAGUGGCGGACGGGUGAGGAAUACAUCGGAAUCUACUUUUUCGUGGGGGAUAACGUAGGGAAACUUACGCUAAUACCGCAUACGACCUACGGGUGAAAGCAGGGGAUCUUCGGACCUUGCGCGAUUGAAUGAGCCGAUGUCGGAUUAGCUAGUUGGCGGGGUAAAGGCCCACCAAGGCGACGAUCCGUAGCUGGUCUGAGAGGAUGAUCAGCCACACUGGAACUGAGACACGGUCCAGACUCCUACGGGAGGCAGCAGUGGGGAAUAUUGGACAAUGGGCGCAAGCCUGAUCCAGCCAUACCGCGUGGGUGAAGAAGGCCUUCGGGUUGUAAAGCCCUUUUGUUGGGAAAGAAAAGCAGUCGGUUAAUACCCGAUUGUUCUGACGGUACCCAAAGAAUAAGCACCGGCUAACUUCGUGCCAGCCGCCGCCGUAA
rnacentral:rRNA from 1 species